GACGAACGCUGGCGGCGUGCCUAAUACAUGCAAGUUGAGCGAUGAAGAUUGGUGCUUGCACCAAUUUGAAGAGCAGCGAACGGGUGAGUAACGCGUGGGGAAUCUGCCUUUGAGCGGGGGACAACAUUUGGAAACGAAUGCUAAUACCGCAUAACAACUUUAAACAUAAGUUUUAAGUUUGAAAGAUGCAAUUGCAUCACUCAAAGAUGAUCCCGCGUUGUAUUAGCUAGUUGGUGAGGUAAGGGCUCACCAAGGCGAUGAUACAUAGCCGACCUGAGAGGGGGGUCGGCCACAUUGGGACUGAGACACGGCCCAAACUCCUACGGGAGGCAGCAGUAGGGGAUCUUCGGCAAUGGACGGAAGUCUGACCGAGCAACGCCGCGUGAGUGAAGAAGGUUUUCGGAUCGUAAAACUCUGUUGGUAGAGAAGAACGUUGGUGAGAGUGGAAAGCUCAUCAAGUGACGGUAACUACCCAGAAAGGGACGGCUAACUACGUG
rnacentral:rRNA from 1 species